CGCCCGCCCGCAGCUGCACCCUUGCCCUGUCGCGGCCUCGCCCUCUCCCCCUGCAAUAGGCUGCAAUGGCCAGAUGCCGGAGGAUGUGCUCAACGAAACCCAAGUCGGCGACACGAAGGUCUGCAAUGGAUAGCCACUCUUUUCAUAGCAGAAAUCAGAAGGGAAUUCGGGCAGCCUAUGCCCUUGAGAAGGACUGCCGAAUCCGUAAUGAGGAUAAAAGCCCACUAUAUGAUGUGAUGCGUAAAGAAGUCGGGCAAGCUGUUUAAGAAAUCAGGACUCAGCUUGAGAAAGAAGUUUAUAUGUUGUGGAGGUUUUAAAUAUGGCAGUCAAGGGAUUUAGAUAGCCUGUUGGUUUUCUCUCUAUUUUUAAAGCCUUCUAUUUUUAUA